rnacentral:rRNA from 1 species
GUGGGGAAUAUUGGACAAUGGGGGGAACCCUGAUCCAGCCAUGCCGCGUGUGUGAAGAAGGCCUUUUGGUUGUAAAGCACUUUAAGCGAGGAGGAGGCUACCGAGAUUAAUACUCUUGGAUAGUGGACGUUACUCGCAGAAUAAGCACCGGCUAACUCUGUGCCAGCAGCCGCGGUAAUACAGAGGGUGCAAGCGUUAAUCGGAUUUACUGGGCGUAAAGCGCGCGUAGGUGGCCAAUUAAGUCAAAUGUGAAAUCCCCGAGCUUAACUUGGGAAUUGGAUUCGAUACUGGUUGGCUAGAGUAUGGGAGAGGAUGGUAGAAUUCCAGGUGUAGCGGUGAAAUGCGUAGAGAUCUGGAGGAAUACCGAUGGCGAAGGCAGCCAUCUGGCCUAAUACUGACACUGAGGUGCGAAAGCAUGGGGAGCAAACAGGAUUAGAUACCCUUGUAGUCC